rnacentral:rRNA from 1 species
AGAGUUUGAUCCUGGCUCAGGACGAACGCUGGCGGCGCGCCUAACACAUGCAAGUCGAACGAGCGAGAGAGAGCUUGCUUUCUCGAGCGAGUGGCGAACGGGUGAGUAACGCGUGAGGAACCUGCCUCAAAGAGGGGGACAACAGUUGGAAACGACUGCUAAUACCGCAUGAGCCCACGGGUCGGCAUCGACCAGAGGGAAAAGGAGCAAUCCGCUUUGAGAUGGCCUCGCGUCCGAUUAGCUAGUUGGUGAGGUAACGGCCCACCAAGGCAACGAUCGGUAGCCGGACUGAGAGGUUGAACGGCCACAUUGGGACUGAGACACGGCCCAGACUCCUACGGGAGGCAGCAGUGGGGAAUAUUGCACAAUGGGGGAAACCCUGAUGCAGCGACGCCGCGUGGAGGAAGAAGGUCUUCGGGUUGUAAACUCCUGUUGUUGAGGAGAUAAUGACGGUACUCAACAAGGAAGUGACGGCUAACUACGUGCCAGCAGCCGCGGUAAAACGUAGGUCACAAGCGUUGUCCGGAAUUACUGGGUGUAAAGGGAGCGCAGGCGGGAAGACAAGUUGGAAGUGAAAUCCAUGGGCUCAACCCAUGAACUGCUUUCAAAACUGUUUUUCUUGAGUAGUGCAGAGGUAGGCGGAAUUCCCGGUGUAGCGGUGGAAUGCGUAGAUAUCGGGAGGAACACCAGUGGCGAAGGCGGCCUACUGGGCACCAACUGACGCUGAGGCUCGAAAGUGUGGGUAGCAAACAGGAUUAGAUACCCUGGUAGUCCACACCGUAAACGAUGAUUACUAGGUGUUGGAGGAUUGACCCCUUCAGUGCCGCAGUUAACACAAUAAGUAAUCCACCUGGGGAGUACGACCGCAAGGUUGAAACUCAAAGGAGUUGACGGGGGCCCGCACAAGCAGUGGAGUAUGUGGUUUAAUUCGACGCAACGCGAAGAACCUUACCAAGUCUUGACAUCCUGCGACGAUGCUGGAAACAGUAUUUUCCUUCGGGACGCAGAGACAGGUGGUGCAUGGUUGUCGUCAGCUCGUGUCGUGAGAUGUUGGGUUAAGUCCCGCAACGAGCGCAACCCUUAUGGUCAGUUACUACGCAAGAGGACUCUGGCCAGACUGCCGUUGACAAAACGGAGGAAGGUGGGGAUGACGUCAAAUCAUCAUGCCCUUUAUGACUUGGGCUACACACGUACUACAAUGGCGUUAAACAAAGAGAAGCAAGACCGCGAGGUGGAGCAAAACUCAGAAACAACGUCCCAGUUCGGACUGCAGGCUGCAACUCGCCUGCACGAAGUCGGAAUUGCUAGUAAUCGUGGAUCAGCAUGCCACGGUGAAUACGUUCCCGGGCCUUGUACACACCGCCCGUCACACC